rnacentral:lncRNA from 1 species
ACAAACUUGCAAUCAUAUUCGGGGCUUCAAAACAGCCCCUAACUACUAAAAAUUAGUUACACAGAAUCCUUAAAUAAAAACAAAAGAUAGACAUGAGUUUGAGAAGAUAGAACCAAAAGAAAUCGACCGAGGCAUCCUCCUCCUUUCCUUCCUUCCCCAACGCUGUUUUUAAACCAAUUCUUGCUGCAUCCUUUUCUUCUCCUUACUCACCCACUAAUAGCCAUUUAGUGAUGACAAUAAGUGAGAGGAAAUUGUAAAACAAUUGUAACUCUUUAGGUAGCCUUUAUGCCAAUUUACUCCCUCUUAAUCCUCAUCUUCAAUUCCAUUUCCUUUUAUAUUUGAAUAAGUGUCAGCUGACUUGUUCUUGGCUGCAUCAGUUUUGGCUGCUAGAUUUAUUGGGUUUAUUGCUUUCAUUGCAGUUACAAACUGCUCAGCUUCUUGGUAACCUUUCAGUGUUAAAACAGCCAUAACUUCUUCUAGAAAAAUGAUAUUAACAAUCCGCAAACUACUCCAUAAAAUAGACAUUCGUAGCUUUUCCAGCAUAUAAGGCCCAUUCUCGAAUUCAUUUUGAGCUGUUCACAACUUGCUUCCAAAGUCAGCUGAUUUGCACAGACAUUUUUGACGAAUUUGUUACUUAAAAUCCCACUUGUGCUAUUUUUCUUUUAUUUGCUUGACAAAUCUGACAAAACACAAAAACAAAGUAAAUAGAUCAAAAAUAUAAGGAACUAACUAAGAAAAGAGAAGUGAAUUUGAUGUAAAAUAUAUAUAAACAUGAGCUUAUCAAAAGACUGUGCCAAUAAUCGUGGGUCACCUACGAGUCGGAACCACCUAUAGUGGUUUGUACGACAAGACUGUGCACCUAACUUGGAUCCAAGGUGAGCGUGCAGUGCAGUAGGUGAACAUCACGUGAAGGACUGUGCCCUAACCACGGGCAAGAGCACUAAUACCGGGGUGCAGAUUUAUGAGCUCCCAACACAUCUCACAUAAUCAUCAAUUCACAAUAACAAUCUACUACUCACCUGGUACUUACCUGAGCGUCCACAGCGUCAAAUCACAUUUAUGCAUACCAUAUAAAUUCAUAGUCUAAGCAUAAAUCAAUAGGUAUGGCAUUUCAAAACAUAAUUUCAUUUAAACACAUUUUCUAGGAAAAAUACCAAGUAUAUAAGUAUAUACUGAAAACCAAAAGCCCACUCACUGAUAUGUGGAAGGGUCGUAGCCCCUGAGUCUCGCAUGAUUACGCUCGUCCUCUAGAUAGGUCUCACCUAUAUGCGAAAUAACUAUAUAAACAUUAUUUUAAAGCACAUAACCAAAACUAGGUACUAACAUCUCAUACAUUGCUCAAUUGGGGUGUUUGAAUAUACCAAUGUGAUCUACUCAACCCCACGAACA